UGGGCUCUGUUUUAGGGUGCCUGUUCCCAUCAGGAUGUGCGGAAAUGUGUCUGCUUGCUUUCUAAAUCCCUGGGAUUAAUUUUCUACAUGAAAUAACAGUUUCUUAUUGCAGAGAGAGUAACUACAGUGUUGCUGAGAGAAAGGUUUGUGUCUGGUUUGUGCUCAGAGUGCUCCUGCCCUACUUCAUUGCCUGGUACAAUCGAAGUGAAGGCACUGAGAAGGGACAGCUCAGACCAGCUUCUGAGCUGAUAUUGACUGAAAACUCAUCCCUUCCAUAUGGGCUGCCUACAAAUGUCUAGAUCUAAAAUCUAUUCCUGGGCCUGCUACACAGUAUGAAUUUGGGGAAAGUAACUUGACUUGUCUGUGCCUGACUGUGCAAGUGUGCAAAGUGAGGAUAAGAGGAAUUACUUCUUGGGGUUUAUAAGAUUUGGUGUAAUCAUGCUUUCAGAUCUGAUUAACAGGAUAGAGUUCAAGCAUUUAUUGUUUUCUUUGGCUCAGGUGUCUCCUUGUAAAGAGUCCCAGUGGUCAUGCUCUAAAAGUGUUUGUCUGUGAGGUUUGGUACAAACCCUUAGAAGGAAACCAGAAGCCAUGGAAGGAAAAUGCAGACAACUGCCUGGGGAGGGAAGAGGCUUUCCUGUAGAGGCUGAUUGUACCAAGCUCAGGAUAUUCUGCACUGUUACUCUGUGGAUAAUGCUGGUAACAAGCUUCUGUUCUUCAGUGUUCUGCAGUGGCACUGCUGCUGAAGAGCUUCUUCAUCCUCUGUGACUCUGUAAGUAUUUCUGGCCAUAACAGAAAUAUCCUGAAUACUUAACCCCAUGCAUGUUUAAAGCAAAAUCUAAAUUAUCUGGU
rnacentral:lncRNA from 1 species